AGCCAUACAAAGUGUUCAUAAUUAAAUAAAUAAAAAUGCCUAUAAGCCUGACACCCCUUUAAAUCUAGUAACUCUGUUUUAAGUUAAAAAGUAAAAUCUAAUUUUUCUAGGACCCAUAUAGGAUGGGCCCUUUACUGUAAUCUUGUCCACUCCCACUGCUGUUAAAGUUGCAGGUGUUGUGUCUUAGAUCCAUCACAGUCAGCUAACACUGGCAGCUCAGGACAAGUAGACCAGCCAGCAGGACACAGAUCAUCCAACCCAGCUGAUCCUGAGACGAGACCAAGCUGCUGCUGAGGACGACAGCCCUGCUCUGGUCACUCUGGAGGCUGACCAGUCUAUUCACGGCUGAAGCUUGAAGAAACAACAAGCCCUGCUCUAGUCACACACCGGCAGCUGACUAGUCUAUGCACAGCCAAAGUUUGAAGACUCAUCAAGCAAACACUUUGCUCCUGGGAUCUACAGUUUGCUUCUAUUAUCCUCUGCAGACAGCACAUGCUGGUGCUGUGACUGGAUCAUCAUGUUUGUCAUCACGCAACCUGCUGCCAUUAGAGCAGCACUAUCUUCCUGGCAAGUUCAACAUAGUGGGUAUCGGGGGUGGCUUCCUCUGACUCCCAGGCUGCAGGAACUUCUUAAUUGUAGGGAUGUUGCUGAUUCUUAUUUUAAAUGCCUGAAAUAAGAAAGAGUAAAAUCAGGGCCUCAAUAGCAGUCACAACCUUUAAGAAAAAUCUCAACUUUGUCAUGAAUGAAGGGUGCUUAGACCUCAGUUUAUGGAGUACAGUGUACUGAAUCUGCUUAAUCCCUCAACAAGUGUUUGCUGGGUAUUUCUGGGAUGGAUAAUAAUACAACUGCUGACAAGUUUAGCAUGAGUUAUAUUAUCUAUUAAAAAGUCACAAUCAGGCAGUGCAUACCCCUAAAAUAUUCAUAUUCUUUUUUUUUUUUUUGAGAUGGAGUCUCACUCUGUUGCCCAGGCUAGCAUGCAGUGGCACAAUCUCAGCUCACUGCAACUUCCACCUCCUGAGUUCAAGCAAUUCUCCCACCUCAGCCUUCCAAGUAGCUGGGAUUACAGGCAUGCAUCACCACACCUGGCUAAUUUUUGUAUUUUUAGUAGAGACAGGGUCUCACCAUGUUAGCCAAGCUAGUCUUGAACUCCUGACCUCUAGUGAUCCACCUGCCUCAGCCUCCCAAAAUGCUAGGAUUACAGACACGAGCCAC
rnacentral:lncRNA from 10 species